GGGCGCACGGUGGAUGCCUUGACACUAGGAGUCGAUGAAGGACGGGACUAACGCCGAUAUGCUUCGGGGAGCUGUAAGUAAGCUUUGAUCCGAAGAUUUCCGAAUGGGGAAACCCACCAUACGUAAUGGUAUGGUAUCCUUAUCUGAAUACAUAGGGUAAGGAAGACAGACCCAGGGAACUGAAACAUCUAAGUACCUGGAGGAAGAGAAAGCAAAUGCGAUUUCCUGAGUAGCGGCGAGCGAAACGGAACAUAGCCCAAACCAAGAGGCUUGCCUCUUGGGGUUGUAGGACAUUCUAUACGGAGUUACAAAGGAACGAGGUAGACGAAGCGACCUGGAAAGGUCCGUCGUAGAGGGUAACAACCCCGUAGUCGAAACUUCGUUCUCUCUUGAAUGUAUCCUGAGUACGGCGGAACACGUGAAAUUCCGUCGGAAUCUGGGAGGACCAUCUCCCAAGGCUAAAUACUCCCUAGUGAUCGAUAGUGAACCAGUACCGUGAGGGAAAGGUGAAAAGCACCCCGGAAGGGGAGUGAAAGAGAUCCUGAAACCGUGUGCCUACAAAUAGUCAGAGCCCGUUAACGGGUGAUGGCGUGCCUUUUGUAGAAUGAACCGGCGAGUUACGAUCCCGUGCAAGGUUAAGCUGAAGAGGCGGAGCCGCAGCGAAAGCGAGUCUGAAUAGGGCGUUUAGUACGUGGUCGUAGACCCGAAACCAGGUGAUCUACCCAUGUCCAGGGUGAAGUUCAGGUAACACUGAAUGGAGGCCCGAACCCACGCACGUUGAAAAGUGCGGGGAUGAGGUGUGGGUAGCGGAGAAAUUCCAAUCGAACCUGGAGAUAGCUGGUUCUCCCCGAAAUAGCUUUAGGGCUAGCCUUAAGUGUAAGAGUCUUGGAGGUAGAGCACUGAUUGGACUAGGGGUCCUCAUCGGAUUACCGAAUUCAGUCAAACUCCGAAUGCCAAUGACUUAUCCUUAGGAGUCAGACUGCGAGUGAUAAGAUCCGUAGUCAAAAGGGAAACAGCCCAGACCGCCAGCUAAGGUCCCAAAGUGUGUAUUAAGUGGAAAAGGAUGUGGAGUUGCUUAGACAACUAGGAUGUUGGCUUAGAAGCAGCCACCAUUUAAAGAGUGCGUAAUAGCUCACUAGUCGAGUGACUCUGCGCCGAAAAUGUACCGGGGCUAAAUACACCACCGAAGCUGCGGAUUGAUACCAAUGGUAUCAGUGGUAGGGGAGCGUUCUAAGGACAGUGAAGUCAGACCGGAAGGACUGGUGGAGUGCUUAGAAGUGAGAAUGCCGGUAUGAGUAGCGAAAGACGGGUGAGAAUCCCGUCCACCGAAUGCCUAAGGUUUCCUGAGGAAGGCUCGUCCGCUCAGGGUUAGUCAGGACCUAAGCCGAGGCCGACAGGCGUAGGCGAUGGACAACAGGUUGAUAUUCCUGUACCACCUCUUUAUCGUUUGAGCAAUGGAGGGACGCAGAAGGAUAGAAGAAGCGUGCGAUUGGUUGUGCACGUCCAAGCAGUUAGGCUGAUAAGUAGGCAAAUCCGCUUAUCGUAAAGGCUGAGCUGUGAUGGGGAAGCUCCUUAUGGAGCGAAGUCUUUGAUUCCCCGCUGCCAAGAAAAGCUUCUAGCGAGAUAAAAGGUGCCUGUACCGCAAACCGACACAGGUAGGCGAGGAGAGAAUCCUAAGGUGUGCGAGAGAACUCUGGUUAAGGAACUCGGCAAAAUGACCCCGUAACUUCGGGAGAAGGGGUGCUUUCUUAACGGAAAGCCGCAGUGAAUAGGCCCAAGCGACUGUUUAGCAAAAACACAGCUCUCUGCGAAGCCGUAAGGCGAAGUAUAGGGGGUGACACCUGCCCGGUGCUGGAAGGUUAAGGAGAGGGGUUAGCGUAAGCGAAGCUCUGAACUGAAGCCCCAGUAAACGGCGGCCGUAACUAUAACGGUCCUAAGGUAGCGAAAUUCCUUGUCGGGUAAGUUCCGACCCGCACGAAAGGUGUAACGAUUUGGGCACUGUCUCAACCAGAGACUCGGUGAAAUUAUAGUACCUGUGAAGAUGCAGGUUACCCGCGACAGGACGGAAAGACCCCGUGGAGCUUUACUGUAGCCUGAUAUUGAAUUUUGGUACAGUUUGUACAGGAUAGGCGGGAGCCUUUGAAACCGGAGCGCUAGCUUCGGUGGAGGCGCUGGUGGGAUACCGCCCUGACUGUAUUGAAAUUCUAACCUACGGGUCUUAUCGACCCGGGAGACAGUGUCAGGUGGGCAGUUUGACUGGGGCGGUCGCCUCCUAAAGUGUAACGGAGGCGCCCAAAGGUUCCCUCAGAAUGGUUGGAAAUCAUUCGUAGAGUGCAAAGGCAUAAGGGAGCUUGACUGCGAGACCUACAAGUCGAGCAGGGACGAAAGUCGGGCUUAGUGAUCCGGUGGUUCCGCAUGGAAGGGCCAUCGCUCAACGGAUAAAAGCUACCCCGGGGAUAACAGGCUUAUCUCCCCCAAGAGUCCACAUCGACGGGGAGGUUUGGCACCUCGAUGUCGGCUCAUCGCAUCCUGGGGCUGUAGUCGGUCCCAAGGGUUGGGCUGUUCGCCCAUUAAAGCGGUACGCGAGCUGGGUUCAGAACGUCGUGAGACAGUUCGGUCCCUAUCCGUCGUGGGCGUAGGAAAUUUGAGAGGAGCUGUCCUUAGUACGAGAGGACCGGGAUGGACGCACCGCUGGUGUACCAGUUGUUCUGCCAAGGGCAUAGCUGGGUAGCUAUGUGCGGAAGGGAUAAGUGCUGAAAGCAUCUAAGCAUGAAGCCCCCCUCAAGAUGAGAUUUCCCAUAGCGUAAGCUAGUAAGAUCCCUGAAAGAUGAUCAGGUUGAUAGGUUCGAGGUGGAAGCAUGGUGACAUGUGGAGCUGACGAAUACUAAUAGAUCGAGGACUUAACCAUAUA
rnacentral:rRNA from 1 species